GACGAACGCUGGCGGCGUGCUUAACACAUGCAAGUCGAACGGAAAGGCCCUGCUUUUGUGGGGUGCUCGAGUGGCGAACGGGUGAGUAACACGUGAGUAACCUGCCCUUGACUUUGGGAUAACUUCAGGAAACUGGGGCUAAUACCGGAUAGGAGCUCCUGCUGCAUGGUGGGGGUUGGAAAGUUUCGGCGGUUGGGGAUGGACUCGCGGCUUAUCAGCUUGUUGGUGGGGUAGUGGCUUACCAAGGCUUUGACGGGUAGCCGGCCUGAGAGGGUGACCGGCCACAUUGGGACUGAGAGACGGCGCAGAAGCCUACGGGAGGCAGCAGGGGGGAAUAUUGCACAAUGGGCGGAAGCCUGAUGCAGCAACGCCGCGUGCGGGAUGACGGCCUUCGGGUGGUAAACCGCUUUCGCCUGUGACGAAGCGUGAGUGACGGUAAUGGGUAAAGAAGCACCGGCUAACUACGUG
rnacentral:rRNA from 1 species